GGGGCUGUAGCUCAGUGGUAGAGCGCUUGUCCAGCACGCUUGAGGUCUUAGGUUUAAUCCCUAGUACUCCCA
rfam:Mus musculus chromosome 18, GRC primary reference assembly.